UUUAAAAUUUACGUUUCAUUUUUGUGUCUUUUAUUAACUCUCGAGUAUUGUGUUAGCUAGCUUUUAAAAAUGACACAAAAUACAGUGAGAGUUGAUAACUCACGCAACAAAAAGUAAAAUCCCUAAAGCCUAAAAACGCAAAAUACUCAGCUCAGCCCUCUCUCGUGCGAUUCUCUUCAGACGCUUCAGCCUCACAGCCGCAUCUCUCUCAGAUGACGGUGAGAUCUCACCAAACCACCUCCUCUUCAGACGGUUUCUUCUCUAUUCUCCUCUUCGGUGGUCUGUGGUCUCUCUUCUCCCGUGAGUUCCUUCGUACAGCCUCCGGUGGUUUCUGAGUUCCUUCCUUCAAAACCUCCGGCGGUCAAUUCUUCUCUUACAAUCGUUACUUCAUAGAGGGUAUUACGCGAAGAAGAGUUUGCACCUGGUAAAAAUAUCAAUGGGUCAACUUUUGACACUUCGGACAGUGCUAAACUUCUUGUUCUCCGCCUUCAUUCUCGUUGGGUAGUUGCUGCUGGUGGAUUCUUAACACAUUCAGUGCCUUUAUAUGCAACUAGUGAUGCUCUUUUAAUUAUUUUAGUUUUUAUUGUUAGUAGAAAUGAUACGAAGUGUACAUGCAUAAACUCAAAUUGGAAAGUAGAUAGAGUGGUCUCACCAAGUUAGACGUUGCCAUUUUGUUGAUCCUAGAUGGGAAUUUAGCUUGGGGGAUUUCUUUGUAUUUUUUAAUUCAAUAUGAAAGCUGGUGAAUGGGGAAGUUAGUUGUAGUUAUCUGAUGCAAUUCAUCUUAAUACCAGGUGUAGAGGUAUCGCCACUUUGUUCAUAUGCUGGAGAGAAUCUAGAAGCUAUAUGUCGUGGCAGAACCUUUGAUGCUUCCUCACUAUAUACUUCUUGCUAGAGUAGUCUUCAAAGUCAUCAUAGUACAAAUCAAUGGCUAAUAAAGCAACUUUGGCUCCUCCUUUUAUCCUUCACUUCAGGUUCGUUUGUUCACCCUUCCUUAAUCUCAGCAGUAAUAGUAGUUACGAUUCCUAUAAAGAUAAAUUUUCUCAGGGUUACCUUUAUUUGGACUGUUAUUUUAAUUGAUUUUAUUAUAUGAACUAUUUUUUUUUUUUUUUAGUUUCAGUAAUCUUUUCAAAUCUUUGGAGUUUGGAACUCAGAUUUUAGGUAGAAAACAAAUGAAUUAAUUCCAAAGCCUUUCAUUUUAUUUUAUUUGGAAUUUUAAGAAAAAUGAGAGAUUAUAUUCUUAGAAAAAUAGAUUUUUUUUUUUCGAAUUUAAAUAAAAUCUUAUAACAAAUCAAAAAAAGAAAUGAUUGGAUGAAAUCUUAUUAUAGAAUUAUAGGAACAUAUUUUCCCCAUACUUUUCACUAUUGUUUAGUAAAAUGUUUUCAUACUAAAAUCUGACAUCCAAACAUAGCAUCUUUUUUCAAUGUAAUUUCAGCUACUUUUAACUUUGGCUACUAUUUUGGAACUUAAGAUCAAAAAUUUUAAUUUUUUCGUGGGAUAUAAUUAUUGAAUAUCUUAAUCUUAUCAUGUACCCUCUGCAUUAUUUGUUUCAAUAAAAUUUGGUACAGUUUCUCUUUCAUCAUUUAAGGGUUACUUUCUUUUCUUAAUUAAAAUGAUUUAGCCUCAAAUGGAGUCCUUUCAAAAUGGGCACAACAUUACCAUAAUUAUUGCCUUAUCAUGCAAUGCAUGCCUCUGAUUUAACUUUGGUACAGUUUUAGCAUCGAUUCUAUUAACAAUUUUUGUAUUAUGUGAUCAGUUAAUAAAAUCGAUUACUAAUUUUAUAUAAGUUUUAAAAAUGUUAUUUUAAUUUUUUGUUUUGUAUUAUGUAUUUACUAUUAUAUAGAAUUAUUCUAAAAUUUGAUAAAGCAGGUGGGGAAAAUUACAUGAAAAUUUACAAUUUUCUCUUACCUACAUUUGUGCUUCAUUUUAUAAGUGACACAAUAGGUAAAAAAAAAAAUAUUUUCGUAAUGGAUAUGACAUUUUUAAACCGACAUAAUUAGUGUUUUGUGACAGUUUUAAAUUGCCAUUAUAAUUUUGCGUUAUUUCUAAACCGACGCAGAAGAUAAAAUAGAAAAGUACAUAUUUUGCGUCAGUUUCUAAAUGUAGAUAAUUAUAUUUUACGUCGUUUUAAAAACGAUGCUAAUAAAAAAUUAUUUGCAUGGUAUAUACGUCAGUUUUCGUAACUGACAUAAAUUCUUUAAAUGACACUUAAAAAUUGACGGGAAUUAUACUUUUUGUAGUAGUGAUGAGUCUAUAUUUGUCUUAUAAAUAUGAUCAGUAUUAAUAUUCUUGAAUUGAUUCUGUAAAUUAUUGAUUAGUGUGAUUUUAAUUGUUUUGGAUAUUUUAAAGACUAAUCAUGCAUUUAAAGUCAUUCGAAGGGAUGUUAGUAUAUUUUGGUGGAAAAUAGUGGAAGUUGGGGAGCUCAAUUUACAAGGCAAAGCUUAAUUACAAAUUUUGACAAUCAUAGAAGAAAAAUUGGACUUGGAACUCAAGAUGAAAAUUUUAGAUCUCAUUCUUAGCUUUUCGGAAUAUCUUGAAUCGUCUAAUUCUGAGUUGUAUUGAAGAAGUUAUGGCCAAAAUAUUAAUCAAUAGCACCGUACUUAUUAUUUUUUUUUUUAAAAAAAAUCCUCAUUCCAAGGGGAUUCAUCUAUUUUUUCAAGCACUAUAAAUAGAACCUUUUAUGCUGCUAAUUUUAGAAUCCUAGAGUUACAAAAUUGAGAUAGAAACUUAGAGAGAGAGCAAGGAAGAGACGAAGACCACGACUUCGAAGUGUUCUUCAUCGUAGUUCUUUUCUUCUCCUUAAACUCUUAUUAUUUAGUAUGAUUAUCAUUAUAAUGUGUAGUUUUGAGUAUUUUUCUUUAGUUAAGGGUUAUAUUAAAACCCAAGACAUGAAUUCUUGAAUGUUAAUUUCUAGUUUCUAUUAUAUAUCAAAUUGCUUCAUUUUUUCUAUGUUCAAUGUCAUGAUUAUUGUUUUAAUUUUAUCUUGACGGCCGUUAAAUUAGGUUUUAUUUUAAUCUACCGUCAUCUUAAGAUUACUAUUCACCUAAUAGUUUAGAAUUCUAAGUGUUUGUGAUAAAUUGAAAUUUUUAAUAUUGUCAAAGGUAUUUUGAUUGUGAUGAAGAAUAACACCUAGGUUAAAUGAAUUACAUGCUUCAUUAAUUUAUUGCCUAGAUCAAUCAAUCUAUCUCCAUAAAUCUCAAAGUUUUAUCUAAGUUAAAUAAAUUGUGUGCUUCGUAGAUUUACUGCUUAGGUAAAAGAGUUAAUUAUUAAGCGCUUCACCUUGAUUACAUGUAAUAUGGAUAUUAGGAUAAUUGAUUGCUUCAACUUUAUCUGUGGGAUUAAUAGUUUGAUUAGAAAUUGAAAUUACAUUCAUGAAUAGGAAUUAGGAACGAUUGUUGAGGGUGGGGAAUAACCUUUAAUUAGUUUCUCAUGUCAGAGUCCCAAUUUUAAUUUGUCUUUUUUUUAUUUAUGAUAUUUUUCUUCUAAAUAUAAAAACCUCUUUUUCUAACUUCUGUCACUAAUUUUUGAGUAAUUAAAUAAACAUAGUACUCGUGGGAUCGACCCUUACAUACAAUUAUACUAAAAUAAUUAGAGGCAUUAGAAAUAAAUAUUAGUAAAUUUGUUGUGGCUUACGAUACGCAUCAAAUUUUUGGCAUCGUUGCCGGGGACUAUUGUUUUAUUUUAUUAUUUAUAUUUAAUUUUUGUUACUAAGUUGUUCUUCUAGUUGUGGUUUAAAUUUUUAGAUCUUUCUUUAGAAAUAUGACGAUGUACAAUUGAUCCAUAUUAUACAUUGCCACAAGUGUAUCAAUAUGAUCCCUGUUAUGACACUUACACAUACAAUUAACAAUGGGGAGAUUAUUCUAGCACUUCCAACAGUGAGAUCAAUCAAUAUGUUCAACCAACUUCUUACUAUCCUCCUGUAGCACCACAAGAUCAAGAUCAUUCUCUUAUUGAUCUGCUCAACACUUUGGAGGCUUCUACUACUCGGAUGGAACAAAAUAAUGUAGAAUUUCAACAAUCUACUCAUGUUGCACCAUAUAGUGAAAAACCUACUACUGUUGAGCUCAUUGAAAUGUUAGCAGCUAAUUUCUUACAGUUUCAGCAAAGCUAUCAUGAGACUAUGCAGAGCCUUCAACGAUAUCUGCAAAAGUUAGAGAAUCUUGCAGAGUCAAUGGAAACAUCUAUGAGUGAGUAUGAAAUUUAAUGUUUAAACUCUAUGCCUUCACAAGUAGAGAGUAACCCAAUAGAGAAUGUCAGUAGCAUCACUAUCUAAAGUGAUACACAACUUGAAUUACCACCACAUCAACAAUUUAAUGAUUUGAUUCUAACUAAAGGAGUCAACAAUUUAUUCUUUGAAGAGUCAUCUCCACCAAGAGUUGAAUCUCAUACUUUAGUUGGUCUACCAUCACUGAAAAAGCUAUACAAACCAAUUGUACUAACUUAUGUCACUCCACCUUUUCCAAGUAGAUUGAAAAAUUCUAAGAAAAAGGAGCCCAUCUAGGACAUUCUUGAAACUCUUCUGAAAGUUGAGGUAAAAAUUCCAUGUCUUUAGGUAAUCAAAGAAGAGUUUGUGCUAACAUUCUUAAGGAGUUGUGUCCAAUAGAGAAAAAGUUUAAUGGUGGUGAGAAAGUAAGUUUGGGGGAGAAGGUUGUUGUUCUCUAAAGAAAAUUAUUGCCUAAGACAAGGACAAUUCAAUGCACAAUUAGUAAAACCGGGUUUGAUCAUUGCAUGAUAGAUUUAGGAGAAAUUAUUAAUAUGAUGUCUUAUUGCAAUUUUGCUUCUUUAUAUCUUGGUUUAUUAAGAGAAACGCAGGUUUUAAUUCAAUUGACUAACCAGACUAAUGCUUAUCCUUUAGGGAUAAUUGAAGAUAUUUUUGUGCAGGCUAAUGGACUUGUCAUUCCAAGUGAUUCUUACAUAAUUGAGAUGGAAGAUGAGGGUGAUCCCAAUCCUACAUCAAUUCUAUUUGGGAGACCAUUCUUACUCCAUACUAAGAAGUUGGAUAUGAAAGCAUGGAUACCUACAAUGGGAUUUAAUGGUUUAGUAAUUAAGUAUAAUGUGUUAGAUUCCAUUGAUAAAUACAUAAACAAUGAGUCUUUGUUAGAAGACCCAACAUGAAGACAUGAGCACAACAUGUAGUCGAGCUAACAACGUUAAAACAAAGCGAACUUAUAGGAGUUUUUCUCCCUUUUCUUUUUAUUUUGUAUUGAUUUUAUUUGAUUGAGCCUUCGUGUC